ACCCAACCAAAACUCCUAACGAUGGAUAUCUUGGUUCUCGCAACGAUGAAGAACGCAGCGAAAUGCGAUACGCAGUGCGAAUUGCAGAAUUCAGUGAAUCAUCAGAACUUUGAACGCAUAUUGCGCUCUGAGGUAUUCCUCAGAGCAUGUUUGUCUCAGUGGCAUCUCCCCCUCUCCCCCU
rnacentral:rRNA from 1 species